UUUUAAAGUGAAGCAGCUGCAUCAAUGGUUACAAGAUAAGGAAAGCGUGGUGAAGCCUCAUUCAGUGCCUCGAAUAAGAUUUUGAAGACUGGGUAGCAAAAUCGUAAGCCGGCACAGCUAUAACCUAAGGAGUACCAUGAAUCACCGACUAAUUGCAUUUAUCCUCUUGGUCACAUUUGUCAUCUCUACAAGAGCUUAUUUCCUUCGUACAGGGGGAAAACGAGGGGCAGUUUUACACAAGAAACGUUCUUCACUUUGGAAAGCUCGCUUAGCAAACACGCGUGGUCUCAAAGAAGGUUUGAAUGAUAUGCUCUGGUCAUGGAUGGAAGACGACAACAAAGAAGAAGACAAAUUGAACGAUAAGGAAAUGUCGGAAUAAAUUAUCGUGAAUGUGGCCUUGCUAUUUAUUUAACCAGAAGCCUAACAAGUACAAAAAGAUAUCUUGUGCAAAAACCGUUCUCUGGUUUUAAAUCAUUAAAAACGUAGGUUUUCAUUUCGGAUAUCAGUUAAGAGCCUUCGUUUUUAAUGAUUUUUACCAAAGAACUCUUGUACGCGCGAUGAAUAUGCGUGAUGUAAUUAUUGUGAA